AGAACUGGCAAGGGAGACACCAUGAUCACAAAAGUGGUUUUCCCAGGGUGAGGCUCAUCCAUUGCACUCCAGGUGUGCUGACCCCUGCGAUUUCCCCAAAUGCGGGAAACUCGACUGCGUAAUUUGGAUUAUUUGGAUUGCUGUUUCCACUAGCCCUGA